UGAAAGUGCAAGAUCAAGCAUAAAACAAGUAAUCUGCAAUUGCCAGCUUCUUUUCCCAUGAAAAAGGAGCUCUUGUAGUCAACCCAGAAACAGAAUACCAAAUCCCACUUGUGUUCAGAGCUGCAAAGAGAGCCAAGGCAAGGAGAAUGUUUUUUGCUUCCACCUCUCAAGGAAUGCUUGCAAUGUCUAGCCACUGUAUGAACUGACAGACAUGGGUCACUUCACAGGAA